rnacentral:rRNA from 1 species
GGGGAAUAUUGCACAAUGGGGGAAACCCUGAUGCAGCAACGCCGCGUGAAGGAUGAAGGUUUUCGGAUCGUAAACUUCUUUGAUGAGGGACGAAUAAUGACGGUACCUCAAGAACAAGCCACGGCUAACUACGUGCCAGCAGCCGCGGUAAUACGUAGGUGGCGAGCGUUGUCCGGAUUUACUGGGUGUAAAGGGCGUGUAGGCGGGAAUGUAAGUCAGAUGUGAAACUCCGGGGCUCAACCUCGGAACUGCAUCUGAAACUAUGUUUCUUGAGUGCUGGAGAGGAAAGCGGAAUUCCUAGUGUAGCGGUGAAAUGCGUAGAUAUUAGGAGGAACACCAGUGGCGAAGGCGGCUUUCUGGACGGUAACUGACGCUGAGGCGCGAAAGCGUGGGGAGCAAAC